AGGUUAACCGAAUAGGGGAGCCGAAGGGAAACCGAGUCUUAACUGGGCGUUAAGUUGCAGGGUAUAGACCCGAAACCCGGUGAUCUAGCCAUGGGCAGGUUGAAGGUUGGGUAACACUAACUGGAGGACCGAACCGACUAAUGUUGAAAAAUUAGCGGAUGACUUGUGGCUGGGGGUGAAAGGCCAAUCAAACCGGGAGAUAGCUGGUUCUCCCCGAAAGCUAUUUAGGUAGCGCCUCGUGAAUUCAUCUCCGGGGGUAGAGCACUGUUUCGGCAAGGGGGUCAUCCCGACUUACCAACCCGAUGCAAACUGCGAAUACCGGAGAAUGUUAUCACGGGAGACACACGGCGGGUGCUAACGUCCGUCGUGAAGAGGGAAACAACCCAGACCGCCAGCUAAGGUCCCAAAGUCAUGGUUAAGUGGGAAACGAUGUGGGAAGGCCCAGACAGCCAGGAUGUUGGCUUAGAAGCAGCCAUCAUUUAAAGAAAGCGUAAUAGCUCACUGGUCGAGUCGGCCUGCGCGGAAGAUGUAACGGGGCUAAACCAUGCACCGAAGCUGCGGCAGCGACACUAUGUGUUGUUGGGUAGGGGAGCGUUCUGUAAGCCUGUGAAGGUGGCCUGUGAGGGUUGCUGGAGGUAUCAGAAGUGCGAAUGCUGACAUAAGUAACGAUAAAGCGGGUGAAAAGCCCGCUCGCCGGAAGACCAAGGGUUCCUGUCCAACGUUAAUCGGGGCAGGGUGAGUCGACCCCUAAGGCGAGGCCGAAAGGCGUAGUCGAUGGGAAACAGGUUAAUAUUCCUGUACUUGGUGUUACUGCGAAGGGGGGACGGAGAAGGCUAUGUUGGCCGGGCGACGGUUGUCCCGGUUUAAGCGUGUAGGCUGGUUUUCCAGGCAAAUCCGGAAAACCAAGGCUGAGGCGUGAUGACGAGGCACUACGGUGCUGAAGUGACAAAUGCCCUGCUUCCAGGAAAAGCCUCUAAGCAUCAGGUAACAUCAAAUCGUACCCCAAACCGACACAGGUGGUCAGGUAGAGAAUACCAAGGCGCUUGAGAGAACUCGGGUGAAGGAACUAGGCAAAAUGGUGCCGUAACUUCGGGAGAAGGCACGCUGAUAUGUAGGUGAAGCGACUUGCUCGUGGAGCUGAAAUCAGUCGAAGAUACCAGCUGGCUGCAACUGUUUAUUAAAAACACAGCACUGUGCAAACACGAAAGUGGACGUAUACGGUGUGACGCCUGCCCGGUGCCGGAAGGUUAAUUGAUGGGGUUAGCGGUAACGCGAAGCUCUUGAUCGAAGCCCCGGUAAACGGCGGCCGUAACUAUAACGGUCCUAAGGUAGCGAAAUUCCUUGUCGGGUAAGUUCCGACCUGCACGAAUGGCGUAAUGAUGGCCAGGCUGUCUCCACCCGAGACUCAGUGAAAUUGAACUCGCUGUGAAGAUGCAGUGUACCCGCGGCAAGACGGAAAGACCCCGUGAACCUUUACUAUAGCUUGACACUGAACAUUGAGCCUUGAUGUGUAGGAUAGGUGGGAGGCUUUGAAGUGUGGACGCCAGUCUGCAUGGAGCCGACCUUGAAAUACCACCCUUUAAUGUUUGAUGUUCUAACGUUGGCCCCUAAUCGGGGUUGCGGACAGUGUCUGGUGGGUAGUUUGACUGGGGCGGUCUCCUCCUAAAGAGUAACGGAGGAGCACGAAGGUUGGCUAAUCCUGGUCGGACAUCAGGAGGUUAGUGCAAUGGCAUAAGCCAGCUUGACUGCGAGCGUGACGGCGCGAGCAGGUGCGAAAGCAGGUCAUAGUGAUCCGGUGGUUCUGAAUGGAAGGGCCAUCGCUCAACGGAUAAAAGGUACUCCGGGGAUAACAGGCUGAUACCGCCCAAGAGUUCAUAUCGACGGCGGUGUUUGGCACCUCGAUGUCGGCUCAUCACAUCCUGGGGCUGAAGUAGGUCCCAAGGGUAUGGCUGUUCGCCAUUUAAAGUGGUACGCGAGCUGGGUUUAGAACGUCGUGAGACAGUUCGGUCCCUAUCUGCCGUGGGCGCUGGAGAACUGAGGGGGGCUGCUCCUAGU
rnacentral:rRNA from 1 species